AGUGAACGCUGGCGGUAGGCCUAACACAUGCAAGUCGAACGGCAGCACAGUAAGAGCUUGCUCUUACGGGUGGCGAGUGGCGGACGGGUGAGGAAUACAUCGGAAUCUACUUUUUCGUGGGGGAUAACGUAGGGAAAUUCACGCUAAUACCGCAUACGACCUACGGGUGAAAGCAGGGGAUCUUCGGACCUUGCGCGAUUGAAUGAGCCGGUGGCGGUUUAGCCAGGUGGCGGGGUAAAGGCCCACCAAGGCGACGAUCCAGAGACGGGCGGAGAGGAUGGUAGGGCACAGGGGGACUUAGAAAAGGCCCAAGCUCCUACGGGAGGCAGCAGGAGGGGAUGUUGGGAAAAUGGCGAAAGGCUGAACGAGGCACGACGGGGGAGUGAAGAAGGGUCUUGGAGUGUAAAACUCUGUUGGUAGAGAAGAAAGAUGGUGAGGGUGGAAACCUCAUCAAGUGACGGUAACUAACCAGAAAGCAACGGCUAACUACGUG
rnacentral:rRNA from 1 species